rnacentral:rRNA from 1 species
UACUCGAGUGGCGAACGGGUGAGUAACACGUGGGUGAUCUGCCCUGCACUUCGGGAUAAGCUUGGGAAACUGGGUCUAAUACCGGAUAGGAGCCAUCUUUAGUGUGGUGGUUGGAAAGUUUUUUCGGUGUAGGAUGAGCUCGCGGCCUAUCAGCUUGUUGGUGGGGUAAUGGCCUACCAAGGCGGCGACGGGUAGCCGGACUGAGAGGGUGUACGGCCACAUUGGGACUGAGAUACGGCCCAG